GAGGGUCUACAGGCUCGUCUACCUGUUGGUCAUCAGGAAGGGAAGAACUGGGCAUUGGCUCUGCUGCCUGGUCUUCCUCGGGAGCAGCCUCCUCUGGCUGCACUGUGUCCUCAGGUUCUGCCUCAGAGUCCUUCAUGUCCUGUUCAUCACCACUUCCAGGCAAAUGUCCAGCACCGAAAAAUGUCCAGCACCCAAAAAAGCAGUGUCAUUCCAAAGGACAGUCCCAAAAAUUCCUUCAUGGGAGAGCCAUGAACGUUAAGCUGUGAUAAACCAUUUCUUACAGCAUCCUGUUAUGAUUACCAUCCCAUUACUGAUGAUAGAGAUGAGAAGAGACUUGGCCAAGGCCACCUAGUGAGCUUGUGGCAGAGGUGAGAUUUGAAUCAGGAGCCAUGUGGAUCACACCUCAUCCUCUCAGUCAUUGGGCCACACCAGCUUCUCACCAAACCACUAUCCUCUGGGAGAAAGGACACCUAUGCCUUUGACAUUUUAGACUUCUUUGUCAGAACACAACUGUGGCAACACUUUAUGAGUGAAUGCCUACUACAGUUUUGUAACUAAUGAAAGGAUCCCUCAACGUGCUGCUCUACAUCACUCUCCAAAUUGUCAUAUCCUGAUAUUAAAUUAAGAAUCAACAUUAAAUCAAUGUAGAGACAUCUGCUUCUUUUUCCCUGACUGUGAAAUUUGCAAAAUUUAAAAAUGAUUCAAAAUCAGUGAGCCAAAAUCAUACUGAGAGUCUCUUUUCCUUUACCAACUUGGUUAUCAGUGAACAGCAAAGAAAAUG